CAUAUUAAACCAAAAUAAGAGAAGCAGAGCAUGAAGUAAUUUCAGUUCUCUUUAUCGUACCAAGUCCCGUUCCAUUCCAUCUCUUCUAACGAAAUUACCCAAGCUAUAUUUCAUAAUCAAACUCUCUUGAGUUUUGGUGGAAGAAAAGAAAGAAGGAUAGUGAACUGAGGUUGUAAUCUAGAACGGGGAAGAUUUUAACUAGCAGCAGCCGCAGCAAAAAGUAGAAAAUAAGUUAAUCAUUGAAGUGAAAUUCAGCCCAUUAAUCAAUUAUUGCAAGGUACACCAUAUGUUUCAGUUUAUUUAUGAGUGGUGAAUUUGGUUGUGGAAAAGGGAAUUGAUAGUGUAAUCACCAAAUACUAUGUCUGUAUAGCAAUAGAAAUUGACAUGUUAUAGUCAUAUGACAUCUAAUAUGAAUCAUAUUUGGAAAUUGAAGACAUGAUCUGUAAGCUAAGUAAGUUCAUAGUAUAUGGAUACUUAAACUAAAAGGUUUAUGUAAUUUUUUUUAUGAAAUCAGUUGUGAUGAUCACAUAUCUGAGUUUUAGCCAAAGGAGAUAGGUUGGUUGUUCGGUGAUACAAGAAGGCGAGAAUGGGAUUAUAACACAAAAAAAAUGGCUAUGGCGUGGUGGUGUCAAAACAGUGCACACGUAGUGCUUGUCAAAAUUCCCCAAUGAACUGUUUUGAUUGAAAACCAAAUAUUAAUCAGAACUAAAUCUUGGGCUAGACAUACAUAUCACAUAUGAGGUUAAGUAGAGAGUUUGAGCAUAUCAAGUCAAAAAAAAAGUAAUUUUAAACCAAAAUGUAAAGUUAGAAAAUUUGUAUGUCAAGCUACCUUAGAGUACUGUUUUGAGCAGCCCAAAGAGAUCAAGAUGGGGAUGGCUAAUAUUUUUUUCUAGCCUUCUAUAAUAUCUACAACGUAUAAAAUAAUUUGGAGUUAAUGAACCAAAACGGAGUUAAAACAAAUCCGUGGUGAAGAUUUUAGUAAACCAUGUCUAGAAAUAAAAACUGGAUGAACAGUGACUAUAGUGUCAAAUUCUGGAAUAGCUAUGUUACCUUAAAAAUUCCGAGUUUCUGGGUAGUUGUAGUGCACUAAGUUAGGAAGCCAUAGGCUUUGGAAUGACCUCAUUCCGACCUCGGAUGAGGGAGUUAUGAUGAUUGGAAGUAAAUGCGUCGAAUUUGUCAAACUGAAAGUCAGCAGUGGGACGUUCUAUUUGGGACACUGUUUUGAUCAGUUAAUGUUUUCAGGAAAUUUUGGGCUUUUGGGGUAUUAUAGUACAUUGAAUAUGCUUUCCAUAGACUCCGGAACGGACUAAUUCCGACUUCGGAGCAAAGAGUUAUGACUAUUCAAAGUAGUCGCGUCAAAACUGUCUAACCAACUCGGGUCAGUCCCUUUACAUGAAAAUUCUGGAAUUCUGUGUUUAGAAUUGGGAAAAGGUCAAAGAAUAAAAGUUGUAGUCCCGGAAGUUAGCUUCGUGUGGGCUCAAGAAUCGCUCAAAAUGUUUUGAAAUGAAAAAGUUAUGGUUGUUUUAGCAAAAGAGGGUAAAGCUGGAAAAAAGGGGAAAACUAUUACGAGUGGACAUUUUUGGGGCCUGUUUUAGGCUGCCUAUGAGGUCUGAAAUGGAUGGGUUACAUUUUUUAAAAAUAACCUACUAUGGUACGUAUAACAUAUCUAAAGUUGGGAAUUUUUCGAUAAACGAGCAAGGCGUGAGAAAAUCGCAAAUUAUGGUAGUUGAGAACGAACCAGCAGCAGCAACUGCCGGCGGCCACGUGCGCUGCCAGGCAGCUGUGUCGUGCUGGGCAGUUUGCUUGACGUCCUUUUUGCACACUGUUUUGAUGAGUUUCCGUGAUCUGUUUUCGCAGUUAGAAUAUUUUCUAAAAUACUACGCCAUAAGGUCUAUAACAUGUCCAAAAUUUCGCUGUUAUAUGACUUAGGAUUUGAAAAUUAAAAAUGAGCGAACAUGCAUGUCAGAACUAAAAUUUAAGCGAACGCUGAGCGUUGGCGCGCCGAGCGACUUUGACGUUCGACAUUCUGAAUCGCGCUCCGGCAACAUUAUAAAUCAUAAUAAAUAUAAUAAAGUCCUACGGGGCGAGAUUUGACUAUAAGUGAUAUUUUAUGCCGAAAAACUUCAUUUCGGGUAUAAAUAAAGCAAUAAAAAUAUGUAAUAAAUAUAAAUUACAUAUUUACGUAACAUAAGAAAAUAUAGUUGUCUAUUAAAUUAUUUUGUGGUGCAAUGAAGAAUGUAAAACCUUUGAAAAAUUAUAUUAAUCAUAAAAAUAAUAUUUUGAGGUUUUCGGUGCUCAAAAUGUGGUUUAGAAAAUAUAGGGAAGAGAUAUAUAGCUUGCGUUAGUUAUGGGUAUUAUUCUAGCUAACUCAUCUCAUAUCGUCCAAUGGAAGAUCUAAGGGUUCGGUUGGAACCGACCCCUACUCUCUCUUACGGCCAGUCAAAUUCAUUUAUGUUGGCCGCUACUCUCUCUAGCGACCAAAACCAAAAAUAAUUUGGUUGUCAUAGAAAUUAAUCAUGGAAGUUAAAUAAUUAUAAUUUAAAUUAAAAAAAUUGGAGAGUAUUAAUACUUCACUCGCUAAUUGGUUCACAAAUAUAAAUAAAUUAUAAAAUGAGUAGUAGACUAAUAUAAAGAAUAUUACUUGACUAAGUAACUUGAGAGUAAUAGGUGACUACGUAAUUUGUUUAUGGGUAGCAAUGUAAUAUAAACUCAAUCACUUACGUACUAUUUAUAAUAAUAUAAUUGUAAGGCGAUAAUUAGUAAUCAGGGGCGGAUCUUUGCCUGGGGCAGGGGGCACCUGCCCCCUCUAAAUUUUCUAGCUUCAAAAUAGAGAAGUCGGUACUCUCCUCUUCUUUCUGCAUGCUAUUCAAACUUGAAGGAGCUCUUGAGUUGAGUUUUGGGAAAUGUGAUGAAUGGGUAAUAUAUUCAUGAGUUAGAUAUUUUUAGACUUAGUGUAUUGUUGUUUCAAGAAUUUUAGGACAUUUUUAUUGGUUUAUUUGUUAUUUUGCAGGUUAGGACAAAGUAGGGCAAAAGAGGCAUUUUGAUAGCUUUAAUGGCAAACUGGUAAUUUUUUAGAGUAGUCCAGCACCGAGGUACUCAAAUGUGAAGGAAUCCUAGUGCCGGAGCGCUGGGAGGCAGUAUAUGUUGCUCGAUUUUGGUGCAAGGAAAGGAAAGGCAAGAAAAGAAAAGCUAAUUUCUAUUCAAUAAAGAAUUCUAAUUGAAGGAUGACUUGAAAUAACCAAAGCCUAUAAAAGGAGGAAGGGUUUUUGACACAAAGCAUACAGAAUUUGAGACAUAAACUGAAGAUUGGAUUUGGAGAUUGCAAGGGAACACACAAGGAAUUCAGAUUGGAGAUUGAAGAAUAUAGUCAAUUACAGAGUUUAUCUUUCCUUCUCUUAUUCAAUUUGUAAUUUAAUUGUGAUGUCUUCCAGGGAUUUUUAGUUUUAAUUUUUAGUAUGAACUAACUUUUUAAUUAAGGUUACAAUUGAACCUUAAGUUGAGUUGUCUAUCAUAUUUUGUGCUUAUUGCUUAGUUGUUUGAUCAACAAUUACCAUGUUAUGCUAGAUGAAUUCAGGAGAUGAAAUUUAGGGUUAGAACUGAUUGUGAUAGAAUGUAUUCUUAGUUAUUUGCAUGGGAUGAAUAAUUAAGGUUGUGAAUUGAUUAGGAAUUUUUUUCACUACAUGUAACAAUUGGAG
rnacentral:lncRNA from 1 species